GCUGAGCAGAGGGGGAAGGCUGAUGUUUGGGGGAGGCUGGCCCAGGGAAGCAAGGGGGAGGAGCCGAUUCCCCCACUGGGGCAGUACUAAUCCCAUGUGGAGCCCAGGGGUCACUCCUGGCUCUGCACUCAGGGCUCACUUCUGACUGGGCCAGGUCAGGACCAUAUGUGGUGCCAGGGAUCUAACCAGGGUCAGCUGUGUGCAAGAGUUUGAGAGGGAGACAGCUUCCAGAACUGUCUCCAGUGACUCUGAGGCGCUGAAUACAAUCUCCAGCCAACCACAGGCAACUUACUCAGAAUUACUCCUGGCAGUGCUCAAGGGACCAGAUGGGAUGCAAGGGGAUUGAACCCAGGUCGGCCAUGUGCAAGCAGAAUAUCCUGCCCCCCUCACCAGGCUGUCUUCACCAGGGCCCACUAGGAGGGGAGUGGGUUGAGUUUCCUUUCCUGCCCCAAGCAAAGCCCCAGCAGCCAAAAACCUCCAGAACCCAACCACAGCCAUGCUCAAGAUCACUCUCCACAUGCUCGGAUGAGCCUCACCCAUGAAGGAACGGACAGAGGAACCUUGGUGUGCGGGACCCGUGACUGAGAUUUCCAAGCCUGCUCAGAUCAGGACUGGGCCUCCUCCACCCAGAUCCCCAGUUUUCCAGUAACUUGGCAGUCAAACCCACAAACUGCCCCCAGAACCAUGUAAUCUCAUUGAUGGUCAAGAUCCAGAGACUAUAAAACCAACCUCUGGGAAGAGAGCGACGCAGUUUUUCCUGGAGCUCUCGACGCCACUCGCAGACAUGAGACCUCUUUUUUUCUUCUUUUUUUUCCUCCAAGCCAGAGCCUGGCAAGCUACUCGUGACAUAUUUGAUAUGCCAAAAAACAGUAACAACAACGUGAUCUUCAUGUUCCUGGAAUGAGCAGAUGCUAUUGGGCAACACUAGCAUGUGACAGGGACGAAUGGAGACAUUACUGGUGCCCACUCAAGUAAAUCCAUGAACAAUGGGAUGACAGUGAUACAGUGAUACAGUGAUAAUCAUUUUAACAUUUUA